rnacentral:rRNA from 1 species
GAUGAACGCUGGCGGCGUGCCUAAUACAUGCAAGUCGAGCGAACGGACGAGAAGCUUGCUUCUCUGAUGUUAGCGGCGGACGGGUGAGUAACACGUGGAUAACCUACCUAUAAGACUGGGAUAACUUCGGGAAACCGGAGCUAAUACCGGAUAAUAUUUUGAACCGCAUGGUUCAAAAGUGAAAGACGGUCUUGCUGUCACUUAUAGAUGGAUCCGCGCUGCAUUAGCUAGUUGGUAAGGUAACGGCUUACCAAGGCAACGAUGCAUAGCCGACCUGAGAGGGUGAUCGGCCACACUGGAACUGAGACACGGUCCAGACUCCUACGGGAGGCAGCAGUAGGGAAUCUUCCGCAAUGGGCGAAAGCCUGACGGAGCAACGCCGCGUGAGUGAUGAAGGUCUUCGGAUCGUAAAACUCUGUUAUUAGGGAAGAACAUAUGUGUAAGUAACUGUGCACAUCUUGACGGUACCUAAUCAGAAAGCCACGGCUAAC